rnacentral:rRNA from 1 species
ACAAGCAGUGGGAGCACCUUUAUGGUGUGACUGCGUACCUUUUGUAUAAUGGGUCAGCGACUUAUAUUCUGUAGCAAGGUUAACCGUAUAGGGGAGCCGCAGGGAAACCGAGUCUUAACUGGGCGUUAAGUUGCAGGGUAUAGACCCGAAACCCGGUGAUCUAGCCAUGGGCAGGUUGAAGGUUGGGUAACACUAACUGGAGGACCGAACCGACUAAUGUUGAAAAAUUAGCGGAUGACUUGUGGCUGGGGGUGAAAGGCCAAUCAAACCGGGAGAUAGCUGGUUCUCCCCGAAAGCUAUUUAGGUAGCGCCUCGUGAA